UACGUAGGGUGCGAGCGUUAAUCGGAAUUACUGGGCGUAAAGCGUGCGCAGGCGGUUCGUUGUGUCGGCGAUGAAAGCCCCGGGCUCAACCUGGGAAUGGCCGUCGAAACUGGCGAACUGGAGUGUGGCAGAGGGGGGUGGAAUUCCGCGUGUAGCAGUGAAAUGCGUAGAGAUGCGGAGGAACACCGAUGGCGAAGGCAGCCCCCUGGGCUGACACUGACGCUCAGGCACGAAAGCGUGGGGAGCAAACAGG
rnacentral:rRNA from 1 species